GCUGCAGGCUUUGUCUUUGCUGCCCAGAGCAGCACUGAUCAGACCCAAAGCUCAGCUUCUUCUCGGUCUCAUUUUUCUACCUUUCCUGUAAUUCGCCGUGUGCUGCCAUGGCUCGCAGGAGACCAGGACUAACUGCAGAGGUUCUGUGAAGAGAUACAAGGGAGCUCAGGUGCCUGGAGGUGUUUGGAGCUGGCAUUUCAACGCCUGCAUUUCUGUAAUGUGGAAGAGUGGAAGGGCAACUCACCUGGACCUUCCUGCACUCACCAGCUCAUCCUGGCACAGCCAGCCAUGCAAAGCAAGCAGCAAGCCUGGAGCCUGCACUUCCUGAGAUCCCGGCUCCUCAGGCUAAGGAGAAGUUGACAGAGCACCUUACUCAGUGAUGUGGCUGUUUUCUAAUACAUGACAAACACCUAGGUCAGGAAUUCAGUAGAAGGAAAUGGCUAAAAUAAAUUCCCCCCCAACAUGAGCAAAUUCUGGAUUCUCUAUGCGAAAGUCAUAAAUUUGACUUAAUAUAAACCUCCAAGAGCAAAAUGUAGGAAAAUUAUAAUUUUUGGAGGACACAUGAUGAUUACACAACUUGAGGUAGAGCAUAGUUGUAAGUUUUAAUCAGAAUGUUGUUGACUCUUUUCUAAUAGGCCUCACUUGAAAACUCCAAACUUCUAAAUGUGGGUAUAAGGCAAAAUGUGUAGUUGAUAUGCAAAUAAAAAUGUAAGUGAAGAUAUUAACUUUUCUUAUGAUAAAACUGCCUUAUUCCAUUUUUUAAUGUCACUUUUAUUUUCAGAGUAUGAAUAUAUAAUGUAGAUGAACUGAAAUUGAGAACCUCCAUGGACUCUUUCCUUUAAAAUUUUAAUUUUAUUAGCACAUGUUUUCAGUACAUGCAUCUUUUUAUUAACUUUAUUGGUAUAUUUUAUGUAUACAUUAUGAACACAUUCAUAAUUGAGAAUUUGUACCUGUAAAUGAUAUAUCUUAGUUCUUGUUUUUUCCCAUUCCCCUUCCCUCCCUCAUUAUUUAUAAAAGCAGUGAAAUGAAUAUGACACACAUGUGUAAAUACCAAAUUGUCUCUUUGGUGUGAGAAACUGAAAGUGUAAAUGAGGACCAAAAUGUAUAAUAGAUGAUGUGAAAUAGGAAGCAAAGGUUCAAAGGGGAAGGGGGGUGGUGAGGGAAAGGAAAGAAAGGAAAGGAAAAAAAAUAUGAGAAAAGAAGGAAAAAUGAAGUACAUGCCUUUUACAGUCAUUCUGGGGAGUUGGCACAUGUACAUAAUACAGCUUCUACUUUCUUAAUCUCCUUCUCUCCCUUCUCCCUUCUCCUCUAGUUCCCCUUUCCCCCUUUUCGUUCUUGUUGAUAUCAUCAAUCUUAGCUCAGGUCUAUGGCACAUUAUGUCCACACUGACUGAGGUUAUGAGGGCCUUGUACCUGGCACAUCUUCACUCUCCCUACUUCCCUAUAGCCUCAUCCUCACCCCUUACCCUCAGAACCCUGGAACCAUCUGCAAGACACCCACACCACUGUCUCCUCUGUACUUUAUUUUUCUCUUAGUGUGUACUUUGUCUCAUUCAGAUGACAGAUACCAUAUGGUAUUCAAGUUUGUGUGUCUGAUUUGUUUCACUCAACAUUACAUUUUCCAGGUGCAUCCAUUUUCCUGGAAAUGUCUCAAAUUUGUCUUUUGUAUACAGAGAAUUUUGAACAUUUGAGAACACAAUUGACACAGAAGAUGUUUUAUUUUAAUGUUUUUUAUUCAGUUAUUAAAAGGGUUAGUGAUAUCAAAAUGUCUUUUAUAUUAUUGUUGUAAAUUUCAUCCUACCUUUUAUGAUGAUUAUUAUGAAGAGUUUUGUUUUCAUCCAAGCCUGAUGAUCUAUGAGGAUAAAAAACCUUCUAGAAGACUUAGUGAUUCUUACUAAUUUUUCAAGAAGAAAAGCUAUCAGAAAAUAGUUUCAUUCCACCUGUGUAAAUAAAUUACUAUGUAAAAUUUGUUUUAUUUAUACUAUAUGAUUUAACUAAGCAAAGAUGUUGUUAUUAUGUAGUUCCUAUCAGGCAAAAUAAAGGAAAAGGGAACUUCAUAGAGACUGUUGCAUUUUUAAAUGAUUUUGUCAUUUUGAAAUUUCUAACAAGUACACAUUAUAUUGAACAAGAUAUUAGCUUUUACAGGGACAGAAAAUAUUUACAGAAGUACUACUAAGCAGACCUUCAAUUAAAAUAUUUUAGAAAGUAGCAUUGUGAUUAUGUAAGUUAUGAAGUCACAUAAAAGCACCAUUAGACCAGAAAAAAAAAAUAAAGCCAACAUGUCUAGAACAAAAUUAUAUAAUUUUGAACAUUCAUGUUUCCUUCUAAGGAAAUAUGGUUACAUGUGCCAAGUUCAUGCAGAAAGGGAAUUGACUAUAAAGGGGAAUGCUUUUUGUAAACACUAUCAAGUCUAUAUUUCAGCCUGAAUUUAUUUUAUCAAAUUAUGUUCUGGGUAAUAAAGAAUAUGUUCAUGAUUAUGUUAAAAAGGUCAUAUUUUAGAAGUUAUAGAAGCAUUCCUAUUUCAUUUUUUUUUGGAAUAUGAGAUAUGACAGAAAUACAGUGAUGUUUAAACUUUAAAAAAUGUAUUACAGUAUCAGAGAUCUCCGCAGUAGCUGCUGAUCUCCUGCUUGGUGCUAAGGCACAAGGCUGAGAAAAAAGCAAACAAACAAAAACCUGAAAGAUAGAACUAAAGAGAAAGAGAAACCAGGGAGCCGGGAAAACCACUGCUAUUGCAAACCAGCAAAGGUGCUGGUCAGUCCAAGCCACUGUUUUUUAUUGGUAAUCAAUUGGGGUAAAUGUGAGCUACAUGCUAAAGGGAAACUACUUGUGAGGAGGUGCAGUUAUGCAGUUACUAUGGAUACUAAUGCAAGCAAGGCUUGGAAAAGACAAAGCAUUCUCAAAUUAGGAACAUAAUAGACAAAAUACAGGGUUGUAAUUAGAACCUUGUCCUUUUAGUUAAGAAGGUUUUAGUCAUGGGAAUGUGUUGGUAGUCUCUCUAGAGGGAGACCUGGAACCCUGGAAAGCACCAACUUUUAAAGAAAGAAAAGGAGACAGCCUGGGGGAUGAACAGCAGUUUAAUUUCUCUGGCACUAUUCGACCAUCACAAAGGAAAGAAGCAAGGCUUUUAUACAUGUAGGAAAGCAGCUUAGUUAUUCUGGCUAUCAUCUUUCUGAUUUUAACCUCUGGUGACAAAUGACUUUAAGUGACUCAUAAAAGCUACAGGCGAAUUCACAAGUCCCCUGUUUCCGUUCACCAAUCCCGUACAUCAAAGAGCAC
ensembl:lncRNA